AACACCUAAACCAUGAGAUGGAGAAGGGCAGGCAAAUAUAAGGGUAGAGAAGAAUAACAGGGUGAUUGUCCUUUGGCAGGGAGACGAGCCACGCCUAGUCUGCCAAAGGAGAAUUGCCCUGCCAUUCACCCACACAAUAAUCUACUGGCAUUGUGGCAAAGCAACAUUGAAUACCAACAUUCUGGUAUAGCUUGAUAAAUCUUUGAGUUGGUGGAUACAUAGAGCUGAAUUACAGUUUAAGGAAACUCGAAGGGGUUGGUCCAUUGGUGAACUGUUAUGGGUAAAAUGCCUCAUGAAGCGUCUUAUUUGUAUUUGAAUCACCAUGGCGGCACCUUUGGGGUCACUUACAACAGGAUUAAUUUGACUUUCCAGUUAAUCCUGCUAAUGACCCGGCCCAGUGAUUGUAGGGUCGGCUGGACCCGGGGGAAUAGCUGAAGUACAGUUGAAAGCUGAUCAAAAUUCAGUUAAUUAGGAGCUUUGCCAAGAGAAUGUCAUGUUUAUUUCCUACAAUAACUUUUGAGUAUCAGAAUAUUAGGCAAAUUAGUCUAGUUAGCCAAUUCUAUUAAGGUUAUGUGACGCAAGAUCAACUUGAAUUUUCUGUAAUGGAGGGUUCAGCUCCCUUGGUCUACACUUGAAUAAUAAAUUCUUGCC